UAAAAGUCGUAACAAGGUUUCCGUAGGUGAACCUGCGGAAGGAUCAUUACCGUUUGUCUUUCGACAAAACCACUGUGAAUUGUACCGAGCCGGUGGGGUAACGUUCUACGUUUUAAAUGACUCAGGUCGGCCCCACUUGUGCAACCAAGUAUGUUGUUCUUUCAACACACUGUAUAGCCUGUAUUACUUUAUGCUACGGUAUGAAGUGAAAACGAAACGUGACAACUUCUAACGGUGGAUCUCUUGGCUCGUGCAUCGAUGAAGAACGUAGCCAGUUGCGAUAAGUAGUGUGAAUUGCAGAAUUCAGUGAAUCAUCGAAUCUUUGAACGCAAAUUGCGCUCUCUGGAUAUCCAGGGAGCAUGCCUGUCUGAGCGUCGUUUAACAAUCUACACACAAUUUGUGUGGAAAGAUCAUUCAUGCUUCAAUGUGUGUCGAUCUAUGGAUUUGAACCGUGUGGUACUCCUUUGUGUACUGCUUGGAAGGCUCAACUUGCUUCUGUCCUUCUCUGCAGUGUCAUGAUGUGUGUAUAACGUGUUCUCUUUCGACCUAGUCGAAAAUUCUUACUUUUGACCUCAGAUCAGACAAGACUACCCGCUGAAUUUAAGCAUAUCAAUAAGCGGAGGAAAU
rnacentral:rRNA from 1 species